rnacentral:rRNA from 1 species
GUGGGGAAUAUUGGACAAUGGCCGAGAGGCUGAUCCAGCCAUGCCGCGUGCGGGAAGACGGCCCUAUGGGUUGUAAACCGCUUUUGUUGGGGAGCAAUAAGGUCCACGUGUGGAUCGAUGAGAGUACCCAGCGAAUAAGCAUCGGCUAACUCCGUGCCAGCAGCCGCGGUAAUACGGAGGAUGCAAGCGUUAUCCGGAUUUAUUGGGUUUAAAGGGUGCGUAGGCGGAUGAUUAAGCGUGAGGUGAAAUGCCACUGCUCAACAGUGGAACUGCCUCGCGAACUGGUUGUCUGGAAUGCCCCUGCCGUGGGAGGAAUGUGUGGUGUAGCGGUGAAAUGCAUAGAGAUCACACAGAACACCGAUUGCGAAGGCAUCUCACGAAGGGGUGAUUGACGCUGAGGCACGAAAGCGUGGGGAUCAAACAGG